GACGAACCACACAAACGUUAUUCGGAAUUACUGGGCGUAAAGCGCGCGCAGGCGGUUCUUCAAGUCAGAGGUGAAAGCCCAGAGCUCAACUCUGGAAUGGCCUUUGAGACUAGAGAACUAGGGUACGGGAGAGGUGAGUGGAAUUCCGAGUGUAGAGGUGAAAUUCGUAGAUAUUCGGAAGAACACCAGUGGCGAAGGCGGCUCACUGGCCCGUUACCGACGCUCAGGCGCGACAGCGUGGGGAGCAAACAGG
rnacentral:rRNA from 1 species